rnacentral:lncRNA from 1 species
GGUAACCAGACCCGUUAAGACCUGCCCGCUUGCACUGUCUCCUCGCAACCCCACACGCCAGAAACGCGACUCCGAGCCCACCUGUCAGCACUCCCCGUGGCCCACCCGUUAGAACCAAACGGUCAAAGGGGCUUAACCGUUAGCAGGUGCUCCGUGAGGGCAUUUGUGAGGAAUCGCGAAACGAACAAGUGUAGCAGCGAGCACUAUUUCUGGCCUCGGGUAUAACUGAGUACAGCUAAGGAAAGAGGGGCACAUAAAUAAAAAACCCUUCCCUAAAACAUUGGAUAUUAGAAACAUAUAUAGCAUUAAGAUUAUUACUCAUGCCAUUGCGGCUGCAUAUUACUCAUAUUUAUAUGCAAUGUGACAUUGUACUUGCAUGAGUUCAGAUAGUAUAACCAGCUUGCGAGCAUUUCAAAUAUCAAAGUGGAUCCCAAAAAAUAAAGAAAACCCACCCAUACAAAUAUUGAAUGUAAAAAACAAAACAUUAUAUAAGAUUUUAUUAAAAAAUACAAACUAAACACAUUAGAAUGCAUUUUUGUAAUCAUAAAAUAAACAUUCAAUGUUAUAUGUCUGAUAUACGAAUUCGCCUACC